GACGAACGCUGGCGGCGGGCUUAACACAUGCAAGUCGAACGGAAAGGCCCUGCUUUUGUGGGGUGCUCGAGUGGCGAACGGGGGAGUAACACGUGAGUAACCUGCCCUUGACUUUGGGGUAACUUCAGGAAACUGGGGCUAAUACCGGAUAGGAGCUCCUGCUGCAUGGUGGGGGUUGGAAAGUUUCGGCGGUUGGGGAUGGACUCGCGGCUUAUCAGCUUGUUGGUGGGGUAGUGGCUUACCAAGGCUUUGACGGGUAGCCGGCCUGAGAGGGUGACCGGCCACAUUGGGACUGAGAUACGGCCCAGACUCCUACGGGAGGCAGCAGUGGGGAAUAUUGCACAAUGGGCGGAAGCCUGAUGCAGCAACGCCGCGUGCGGGAUGACGGCCUUCGGGUUGUAAAACGCUUUCGCCUGUGACGCAGCGUGAGUGACGGUAAUGGGUAAAGAAGCACCGGCUAACUACGUG
rnacentral:rRNA from 1 species